rnacentral:misc_RNA from 1 species
GCCAUCCAGUACCUUCAGUUGCUGCAUCGAAAGCUUCAUCUGAGCUUUAUCAAAUCCAAGGCAAGAGAGGAAUAUGGUUUUGUGGAGCAUAUCAAGGCUAUGGCUUCCAUGAGGAUGGACUAAAGGCAGGUGCUAUUGCUGCACAAGGACUACUUAAGAAAAACUUUAGCGUCCUGAAAAAUCCCACACACAUGGUACCUACCUGGCCAGAAACAGGAGCACGCCUCCUCGUUACUAGAUUUCUCAAGAGUUUCAUCGCGACAGGAUGCUUAAUCCUGUUAG